UCAUUUCAUUUCAUUUCAUUUCAUUUAUUAAGUCUAUGAUUUACAAACCUUACAGACUAGAUGUACAAGCUUACGACCUAAGUGUAAAUUCGAUAUUGAAAGUAUAUAAUUAGGAAUACAUUGAUUCUAGUAAUAAACCAAAACGAGAUCUCGGGAAGGCGAAGUCCAGAUCAAGGCUCUUGGAAAUUCUAUUAAAUUCAAUGAGAGCUCUGGAAAUGGGGUCAUAAUUGUAAUAAUUAGCUUUAUUAACUUUAAUAUUAAACGGGUAAUGAGUGCGUAAAUUUCUAUAUGGUACAUUGAAAUUUAUUUGCAGAAGAAGCUCUGGACAGUCUACUAUGCCAUUAAUAACAUCGUAUAUGAAAAGCAGAGAUUGAAUAGAUCGCCUAGACUCAAGUGAUUUCAGAUUUAUAAGCGCACAGCGGGCCGUAUAAGAUGGUAGGGGAUCACUAAAAUGGAGUGGUUCAAGAGCGAAGCGAAUAAAGCUUCGUUGCACUCUUUCAAGUCUAGAGGAAUGAGUUGAGUAAAUUGGACUCCAGAUUAAAGAGGCGUAUUCAAGCUUCGAACGAACCAGCGAGUUAUAGAGAAUUUUUCGGGUGUAGGGAUCUUUGAAAUCUCUACCAUAGCGCCGCAAAAAAGCAAGAUUAGAGUAGGCUUUAGGAACGAUAUAGCUAAUGUGGUUAAUGAAGAUAAUAAGCCGACUUAUGCGUAAUUAUGCUCUUUGAAAGAGUCAUAUGGAGACAUUUUUUAAUAUUAAGCGGUAAGUUAUUUCUGAUGCUCCAAGUAGUUAAGUUGUUAAGAUCAUUUUGUAAUAGCAAAACAUCUGACAAAGAAGUGACACUUCUGAAGAUUUUUAGGUCAUCAGCGUAUAGCAAAAACUUGGAAUGCUUAAAGCAGGCUCCAACGUCAUUAAUAAAUAAA